rnacentral:rRNA from 1 species
AAAACUAGCCAGUCUUUUGGGUAUGAAACCCAUUUGGGCGAGAGUGGUACUAGGAUGGGUGACCUCAUGGGAAGUCCUCGUGAAUGGGUCUC